rnacentral:rRNA from 1 species
UACGUAGGGUGCAAGCGUUGUCCGGAAUUAUUGGGCGUAAAGAGCUCGUAGGCGGUCUGUUGCGUCGGCUGUGAAAACCCGGGGCUCAACUCCGGGCCUGCAGCCGAUACGGGCAGACUAGAGUUCGGCAGGGGAGACUGGAAUUCCUGGUGUAGCGGUGAAAUGCGUAGAUAUCAGGAGGAAUACCGAUGGCGAAGGCAGGUCUCUGGGCUGACACUGACGCUCAUGCACGAAAGCGUGGGGAGCAAACAGG